GAUGAACGCUAGCUACAGGCUUAACACAUGCAAGUCGAGGGGCAGCGGGAUUGAAGCUUGCUUCAAUUGCCGGCGACCGGCGCACGGGUGAGUAACGCGUAUCCAACCUUCCGUACACUCAGGGAUAGCCUUUCGAAAGAAAGAUUAAUACCUGAUGGUAUGAUGAGAUCGCAUGGUAUCAUCAUUAAAGAUUUAUCGGUGUACGAUGGGGAUGCGUUCCAUUAGGUAGUAGGCGGGGUAACGGCCCACCUAGCCUACGAUGGAUAGGGGUUCUGAGAGGAAGGUCCCCCACAUUGGAACUGAGACACGGUCCAAACUCCUACGGGAGGCAGCAGUGAGGAAUAUUGGUCAAUGGACGAGAGUCUGAACCGAGCCAAGUAGCGUGCAGGAUGACGGCCCUA
rnacentral:rRNA from 1 species